rnacentral:rRNA from 1 species
GACGAACGCUGGCGGCGUGCUUAACACAUGCAAGUCGAACGGAAAGGCCCUGCUUUUGUGGGGUGCUCGAGUGGCGAACGGGUGAGUAACACGUGAGUAACCUGCCCUUGACUUUGGGAUAACUUCAGGAAACUGGGGCUAAUACCGGAUAGGAGCUCCUGCUGCAUGGUGGGGGUUGGAAAGUUUCGGCGGUUGGGGAUGGACUCGCGGCUUAUCAGCUUGUUGGUGGGGUAGUGGCUUACCAAGGCUGUGACGGGUAGCCGGCCUGAGAGGGUGACCGGCCACAUUGGGACUGAGGGACGGCCCAGACGCCAACGGGAGGCAGCAGUGGGGAAUAUUGCAGAGUGGGCGGAAGCCUGAUGCAGCAACGCCGCGUGCGGGAUGACGGCCUUCGGGUUGUAAACCGCUUUGGCCGGUGACGAAGCGGUAGUGACGGUAAUGGGUAAAGAAGCACCGGCUAACUACGUG